CAUCGCGGGGCGGGGUGUGCGGCGGUAGCCGUUACGGUGAAGCAGCUGCGGCGUGCGGCGGCUGUUUAGCUUUACCGUGAGGCAGGUGCGGGCGCUGCUGUUGAGCGUUACGAGGGGAAACCCCAGCCAUGGAGAAGUACCAGGCUCUUGGUCUCGUGGGGGAAGGCAGCUACGGGGUGGUGACCAAAUGCAGAAACAAAGACAGUGGGCAGAUUGUCGCAGUCAAGAAAUUCCUGGAAAGUGAGGAUGAUGCAAUGGUGAAAAAGAUGGCCCUGCGGGAAAUCAAGCUGCUGAAGCAACUCAGGCAUGAGAAUCUCGUGAACCUGCUGGAAGUGUGUAAAAAGAAGAGACGGUGGUAUCUGGUGUUUGAAUUUGUGGAUCACACAGUGCUUGAUGACCUUGAGGCAUUUCCGAAUGGACUAGACCACAGCAGAGUUCGGAAAUACUUAUUUCAGAUUAUAAGAGGAAUAGCAUUUUGUCACAGUCACAAUAUAAUCCAUCGGGACAUUAAGCCAGAGAACAUUUUAGUCUCCCAGUCUGGAGUUGUAAAACUGUGUGACUUUGGAUUUGCCCGCACAUUAGGAGCUUCUGGGGAAGCUUAUACGGACUAUGUGGCAACCCGAUGGUACAGAGCUCCAGAGCUGCUGGUGGGAGAUAUCAAGUAUGGCAAGGCUGUGGACGUAUGGGCUAUCGGCUGUCUGGUAACAGAAAUGCUUACGGGAGAGCCCCUGUUCCCCGGAGACUCUGACAUUGACCAGCUCUAUCAUAUCACCAAGUGCCUGGGCAAUUUAAUUCCAAGACACCAAGAGCUGUUCUAUAAAAAUCCCCUCUUUGCUGGCGUGAGGCUGCCUGAAGUGAAGGACAUCGAACCUCUGGACAGACGAUAUCCCAAGCUUUCUGCCACAAUGUUAGAUCUAGCAAAGAAGUGUUUGCAGAUUGAUCCAGACAAGAGACCAUCCUGUGCUGAACUCUUGCAGUGCGAUUUCUUUAUCAAGGAUGGAUUUGCUGAAAGAUUUGCUCAGGAGCUUAAAUUAAAGAUUCAGAAAGAUGCCAGAGACCAUCAAUUACAAAAAAAAUCAAAAAUCAGCAAAAAGGACAAAGAUGAUUGUUUAGGAGAAGAAAGAAAAAUGCUUGCUAUCCAGGAUUUCGACAUUGACCCAAAGAGCAGAGAUGCAAAGCUAUUCAAGGUGAAGUGCUCUAAAGCAGAUGCAGGGAAGGCAGAGCGACCCUCCAACCUGAGCUCCCUCUAUGACAGUGCAAUCAAACCAUUUAAAAUAGGCCCUCAAACCAGCCUGAAAGAUUCUAGCAGCAGCUUGGACUAUGCCAAGAAUGCAGGCAUAGCUAUUCCUCCUAUCAUCCAGAACCUUUCUGCCACGACGGCCAGUAUGAGGAUGAAUGCUGGGAUGGGGUCCGUGCCUGGGAACCAUAACUAUAGAGUAGAGGAAAAGAGUAAAAAAUACUUGAACCCAUUUCUAAAGCAAGGAAAACAUUCUCCAGCAGGCCAUUACAGUGUAAGCUUAACAUCGGUUUCUAACGAGAAAACAAUCCUUCAGGCAAAUAAGAAAAAAUGGGAAUUCUCCAAGACAGAUGUGCGUUUGCCAGAACUAAAUCAUCUCCCUGAACUGAGAGGAGUGGAAGCAUGGAAUCCCAGAUUACUCAAAAAGGAGAACAAAACAGUUUCAGAGUCCCGUAUUCCCUCCCUCGCUGCCAUUGACCUCCAUAAUCCAAGUCUGGCUUCACAGCAGCUCUCAGGGACCUUGAUAUCCGAUGCAUCAGAAGCCAGCUUCCCCAGAGUUGAGCACUAACCUGAAGGAGAAUGGGAUUACACCUGCCACUAAAAGACUCUCACCUUGCCCAUGAAAAGAAAUGUGGUUCUGUAGGUGGCUUUGAAAGAAAAGUCAUAGAAAAGGCUGGGUUUCUUCUGUUGAGGUGGCUGAAACUGGGAACAGUCCAGCUGAGACUCCAGGUGCUAAUGCGGCACAGUUUCUGCAGGAGAGAGUGGGAUCCCUUACUCUCUUGUUAGCACAGUGGACUGCCAUGGGGUGUGGCUCAGAUCCAGUUCAAGGACAGAGCUCUCAUUGCUGUUGCUGCUGGAUUUCUUGCAUGCAAAACAGUUCCUGAGAUGUUGAUUUCCUGGCUUAGGGGCAGGUCUUGACUGAAGUUGCUCAGAAAGGAAUGGUGGUUGUUGGUGUGUGACAGGCAGAAGCUGGCUUGGAGGAUUUUUGAAGAAGGACGGGUUUUCUUUUGUCUAACCACUGCUCUCUUGAGAGAGGGUGUUAUUCAAAGAGAGCAGAUAGCUGCUGAAUUUGUUAUAUUUUGGUGGGCUACCUGGUCUGUAUUGGAAAGCAUCUUUGUCUUGGCAAAAAUGUCCAUGGAAAAUGUUUGUGGAAGAAAGAUAACAUUAAAUGUGUAAAUGUUCCUAAUGGUUCCUUUGAAACCCUUGUUAAUGCUCAGGAGCACGUGUGAAGUUGUGUUAGGUUCCUUUUCCCUGGAUGCAUUCUCUCCCCAGCUUUUGAGCAGUUCUCUUCUGGACAUUUAACUGGGCCUGUUGCCUGGCUGCACUUGAGUGAAUGUGUGACUCCUGUUAAUGCUGAAGGAAGAAUAUCAGUAUAACACAUUGAGCUGUGGUGCAAGUUGCAUGUGAAAUGGCUUCAGAUGAAUGCUUAGUAACUCACUUAAUUCAUCCGUCCUUUUAAGUAUAUCUGGGAGAAAUGGGACCUGUAACUGUGAACCUCAACAGUGAUGUGUGGGGAGAAAAAGAACAGAUUCCUCUUACCUUUGGACAGUUAUGAGACCAUGUUUGUUUAACUGUUCUCAAGUUGACUUUAGUCAGUCUAUGGUAUCCCUACAUUGCUUUCAGCCCUUCAAUGCUGUUGUCACAGCUCAAACCCCUGUCUGGUGCAAUUAGCUUUGGAACUGUGUUGUCUUUCCACAAAGUAGGGCCUUUCCCAUCAGUGUAUCAUGGCAGUGUGGAUGUCAUCAAAUUUAGAGCUUUGUGGCUAUGCUAUGUUCUGACACGUACAUCUAUAUUUUGUAAAUAAAAGGAUAUUCAAAUUCUAAA